CUGAAGUAAUUCCUACAUUAACGAAGAUACCAUAAAAAAUGUCAAAAGGAAAUGAUUUCAUGGGAGAAAGAAGUACGAAUCAUACCUGGAAUAAUGGUAACUUGAAUUCCCUGUUUCUGCAAGAAAUCCAUUUCUUCCCCACCACGGCCAAAUACCUGAAAGACACAUACAUCAUACAUGAUACAUUUAAUUUCAAUUCACAACAAGAAUUUGAAUUAAUAAUAGAUAAUAAUACUCAACAACUAAUUCUUUUUUUACUUGAACUACAGCAACAGCAUACGGAUUGGAAAACUUGGUUGAAAUAGCAAUCAGAUUAUGCAAGAAUACAUUGGGACAAUGAUGGAAGAAAUAUCGAUCCAAUAACACAUGGAGAUUAUAUUGAAAGUCAAGCAAAAUGUAUGGAUUAUUAGG
rnacentral:lncRNA from 1 species